UGUUCUUAAUUCCUUGAACAUGAAGACGAGAAUCAAAUUUCCAGCCUCAACUAGCAUAUUUUUAUUCCUUUGUGAAAGAAAAGUGGUCUUCGAAGAGUGGGUAGCAUCAAUGGUUCACGCACGCAAGGCAUUACAAGUUUUGGAAAGCAGAAAUGGGGUCUAUGUGUUAUACAUGGAACGAGUCAUAGAUGCCGUGGACCUAUUUGUCACGCAUAAUUUACUGAUGGGUGAAGUGAAGAUAAUAUAGAUUACUGCAGCAGCAGAAGAGCAGGCCAGGGCAAAGCAAGAAGGCAGACAUGUUGAAUGAGAUGAAACCACGCUGCAUACUCGGUCUCUCGCUCCUUCUUCUUCUUCUAAUAUUCUGUCAAUCGCUUCCAAGUUCAGCCCAUGGAGAUGGAAGUAGAGGUGGUACAACAACUACUAGUACUAUUACUAGGGUGGUUGUUGUUGGGGAGCAGCAAAUGCAGAAGCAGCAGCAGCAGCCACCACUGCCAGCUGCAAAUUACCAUGGCAGUACUUUGCUUCACACAACUCGGAAGCUUAAGCUUGGGGUUCACAUGAAAUUAACCCGUAGCGUUCCAAAGGUUCCUCGUGUCAAAAAAUCAUCCGCCAUUCCAACUCAGAUGACACCUUCUCUUCCUGUCGCUUGUUUUCUUUCUGCAUUAUCCCUCCUUUCUUUUUUUCUGUUAUAGGAUAGGAGGAGCUGGAAAUCAUAAUACCUGCUAGAAAUAUCAUGUUUGUUUCCAACAACAAUCAUCAUCAAUAUAAGCUUGAAAUAUUAUGUUUGUUUCAAUUGGCAACAAGUUACAAAAUUACCAUUA